GCCAUUUCUUUUUUUUCUUUUUUUUUUUAAGAUAAGAGUCUUUCUCUUGUCACCCAGGCUGGAGUGCAAUGGUGCGAUUUUGGCUCACUGCAACCUUCACCUUCUGGGUUCAAGCAAUUCUCCUGCCUCAGCCUCCCGAGUAGCUGGGAUUACAGGUGCCCGCCACCAUACCCAGCUAAUUUUUGUAUUUUUAGUAGAGAUGGGAUUUCACCAUGUUGGCCAGGCUCCUCUGGAGCUCCUGACCUCAGGCAAUCUGCCUGCCUCAGCCUCCCAAAAUUCAAGGAGUACAGAUGUGAACAACCACGCCCGGCCUCCAUUUCUUUUUUGUAGUCUUUAAUAAACAGCUGCUAUCAUUGCAGACUUGCUGUUUAGGCACUUAGGAAUUUUUCACUAGAAGGCAUGUAAAUAAAGACCAUGGGCAAUUGUAAUGAAUUUCGCCUUCAUUCUUUGACUACAUGACUGUCCCCAGAGCUGUAACUUUAUUGAAUUUUUUAGAAGCCAUUUAGCUAGCAACUGAGCCUAACCAGCCACUCACCGUCAUUAUUCAGUGCUCUUUUAUUAUUGUCUAUUUCUCCUCCAACUUGGCUACACUCACAAAGUGAUAAAAACUUGCAUUUGUUUUCUUUCCUUUUCAGAGAUGGCAUCUUGCUCUGUUGCUUAGGCUACAGUACAGUGACAUGAUCAUGGUUCACUGUAGCCUCAAACUCCUGGGCUCAAGUGGUUCUCUCACUUCAGUCUCCCAAGUAGCUGGGACUACAGACAUGUGCCACCAUGUCCAGGUAAUUUUUUAUCAUAGAGACGAGAUCUUGCCAUGUUGCUCCGACUGGGCUCAAAACUCCUGACCUCAAGUGAUCCUCCUGCCUCAGCCUCCCAAAGUGCUGGGAUUACAGGCAGGCAUGACCACCUGUGCCCAGCCCCCUAUUAUUAUUAUUUUAAAUAAUAGCUUUAUUAAAAUAUUCACAUACCAUUCACUUUAUUUAUUGAAAUCUGCAAUUCAGUAGGUUUUAGAAUAUUCACAGAGCUGUGCAUCGAUCACCACAGUCACUUUUAGAACCUUUCAUUACCCUAUAGAGAAAUCCAUACCCCUUAGCCACUACCUCCUACUCUCCCCACCUACCUUUGCCCCCAGCCUUAGGCAACCAUUGAUUAAUUUUUUUGUCACUAUAGAUUUGCCUAAUCUGGACAAAUAGAAUUGUACAAUAUGUGAUCUUUUGUGGCUUUUCUUCCCUCUUAGCACAGUGUUUUCAAAGUUCCUUUAUGUCAUAGUGUGUAUCAAUAUUUCAUUCCUUCUAUGGCAGUAUUCCAUGGUAGAGACACACUGCAUUUUGUUUAUCUGUUCAUCAGUUGGUGGAUAUUUGGGUUGUUUCCAUGUAUUCCAUGUAUUGGUCAUUAUGAAUAAUGCUGCUAUGAAGAUUGUUGUACAAGUUUUUGUGUGGACAUAUAUUUUUAUUUUUCUGGGAUAUAUGCCUAGGAGUGAAAUUGUUGCAUUAUAGGAUGACUGUACAUUUAGCCUUUUGAGAAACUGCCAGACUGUUUUCUAACGUGGCUAUACCAGUUGGGUGCAAUGGCUCACACCUGUAAUCCCAGCUACUCAGGAGGCUCAGCUAGGAGGAUGGCUUGAGCCCGUGAAUUCAAGACCAGCCUGGGCAAGAUAGUGAAACCCCGUCUUGAUUUUUUAAAAAUCCAAUUAAAAUGACAAGAAAAGAAAUACCCAAACAAAAUGGUUACACAAUUUUAUGUUCCCACCAGUAAUGUAUGUGGGUUCCAAUUCCUCCACAUCUUCACUGACAUUUUUUUUUUCUAGAUAGGGGCUUGCUCUGUCUCUCAGGCCGCAGUGCAAUGAUGCCAUCACAGUUCACUGCAGCCGUGACCUCCCAGGCACAAGUGAUUCUCUCAUCUCAGCCUCCUGGGUAGCUGAAAAUUACAGGUGUACGCCACCAUGCCUGGCUAAUUUUUAGAUUUUUCUGUAGUGGUGGGAUUUUACCAUGUUGCCCAGGCUGGUCUCAUACUCCUGGCCUCAAGUGAUCUGCCCACCUCAGCCUCCCUAAGUUCUGGAAUUACAGGCUGCCACCAUGCCCGGCCUUCACCAACAUUUGCCAUUAUCUGUUUUUUUUUUCUUCCUUUAUACCUUAAAGCAGUAUAAGAACAAGUGUCUUCAAUUAUAGGAAACAGUAUAAUCCCAGGGCUUUGGGAGGCUAAGACAGGAAGAUGUCUUGAUGCCAGGAGUUUUUUUUGUUGUUGUUGUUUUUGUUUUUGUUAUUGUUGUUGUUGUUUUUGACAGUCUCGCUCUGUCACCCAGGGUGGAGUGCAGUGAUGGGGUCCACUGCAACCUCCACCUCCCAGGUUCAAGUGAUUCUCCUGCCUCAGCCUCCCGAGUAGGUGAGACUACAGGUACACGCCACUACUGCCCAGCUAAUUUUUGUAUUUUUGAUAGAGUCAGAGUUUCACCGUGUUGGCCAGGCUGGUCUCGAACUCCAGACUUCAGGUGAUUUGCCUGCCUUAGCUUCCCAAAGUGCUGCGAUUACAAGCAUGAGCCACCAUGCCCAGCCUGAUGCCAGGAGUUUUAGACUAGCCUGGGCAACCUAGCAAGACCUUGUCUCUACAGAAUAUUUAAAAAUUAGCCAAAUGUGGUGGUGCCUGUGUAUAGUCUCUCUCCCUCUUUUUUUUUUCUAACUUUUUGUGACAUGGUCUGGCUCUGUCACCCAGGCUGAAGUGCAGUGGUGUGAUCAUGGCUCACUGCAGCCUGAAACUCCUGGGAUCAAGUGAUCAAUCCUCCCACCUCAUCCUACCAAGUAGUAGGGACCACAGGUGUAUGCCACCCAGGUCUUGCUAUGUUGUCCAGGCUGGUCUUGAGCUCCUGGCCUCAAGCAAUCCUCUCACCUUGGCCCCCCACAGUGCAAGGAUUACAGGUAUGAGCCACCAUGCCUGGCCCCCUACCCUGCCUACUGAGAACCAAAGGAAGGAUCCAAAUUCUCCUUAGCUCAACUCGAGCCAUUUCCUGAUUGCUUCAUCAGCGAGGAGCUGGUUAUUGGGCUGUCCAGGCCUCCCAAGCAGCACAGAAAUGAGGUGAAGGAGUUUUCCUGUUGCUCCACUCUGUAAGGAGUUGGAGGGUGAUGUUUACUCGUUUGCAGAGAGAGAUGCCUUGUAGGCACCUCAGGAUGGAGAGGGUCCUGAUUCCAAUGUCCUUUUUUUCUUCAGAAACAGGACCUUGCCCUGUCACUCAGGAUGGAGUUCAGUGGUCCUAUCAUGGCUCAUUAUAGCCUCAAACUCCCAGGCUCAAGCAAUCCUACCAUGUCAGCCUUCCCAGUAGCUGGGACUACAGCUGGAUCUACCAUGAAAGACUUGUGAAUCCAGGAAGAGAGACUGACUGGGCAACAUGUUAUUCAGGUACAAAAAGAUUUGGACUGUAACUUAAAAAUGAUCAAAUUAUGUUUCCCAUGCAUCAGGUGCAAUGGGAAGCUCUUCUGGAGAGUGAGAGAAGCUUCCAGUUAAGGUGACAUUGAAGCCAAGUCCUGAAAGAUGAGGAAGAGUUGUAUGAGAGUGGGGAGGGAAGGGGGAGGUGGAGGGAUGGGGAAUGGGCCGGGAUGGGAUAGCGCAAACUGCCCGGGAAGGGAAACCAGCACUGUACAGACCUGAACAACGAAGAUGGCAUAUUUUGUUCAGGGAAUGGUGAAUUAAGUGUGGCAGGAAUGCUUUGUAGACACAGUAAUUUGCUUGUAUGGAAUUUUGCCUGAGAGACCUCAUUGCAGUUUCUGAUUUUUUGAUGUCUUCAUCCAUCACUGUCCUUGUCAAAUAGUUUGGAACAGGUAUAAUGAUCACAAUAACCCCAAGCAUAAUAUUUCGUUAAUUCUCACAGAAUCACAUAUAGGUGCCACAGUUAUCCCCAUUUUAUGAAUGGAGUGAUGAAAACCUUAGGAAUAAUGAAUGAUUUGCGCAGGCUCACCUGGAUAUUAAGACUGAGUCAAAUGUUGGGUCUGGUCUGACUUUAAUGUUUGCUUUGUUCAUGAGCACCACAUAUUGCCUCUCCUAUGCAGUUAAGCAGGUAGGUGACAGAAAAGCCCAUGUUUGUCUCUACUCACACACUUCCGACUGAAUGUAUGUAUGGAGUUUCUACACCAGAUUCUUCAGUGCUCUGGAUAUUAACUGGGUAUCCCAUGACUUUAUUCUGACACUACCUGGAGUUAGCACAGACCCCACAAGUUAGGGGCUCAGUCCCACGAGGCCAUCCUCACUUCAGAUGACAAUGGCAAGUCCUAAGUUGUCACCAUACUUUUGACCAACCUGUUACCAAUCGGGGGUUCCCGUAACUGUCUUCUUGGGUUUAAUAAUUUGCUAGAACAGUUUACGGAACUCAGAAAAACAGUUUAUUUUCUUUUUUUCUGAGAGAGAGGGUCUUAUUUUGUUGCCCAGGCUGGUGUGCAAUGGUGCAGUCAUAGCUCAUUGCAGCCUUGAUUGUCUGGGUUCCAGUGGUUCUCCCACCUCAGCCUCCCUAGUAGCUGAGACUACAUGCCUGCACCACCACAUCUGGCUAGUUUCUUUUAUUUUUUGUAUAGAUGGGGUCUUGUUGUGUUGGCCAGGCUGGCCACAAAUUCCUGGUCUCAAGUGAUCCUCCCACCUCAGCCUCUGAAAGUGCUGGGAUUACAGAUGUGAGCCACCACAUCUGGCCAGUUCAUUUCCUAUUACUGGUUCAUUGUGAAGGAUACAUCUCAGAAACAGUCAAUGAAAGAGACGUGCAUGCUGGAUGCAGUGGCUCAUGCCUGUAAUCUCAGCACUUUGGGAGGCCAAGGUGGGAGGAUCGCUUAAACUCAGGAGUUUGAGACCAGCCUGGGCAACAUGGUGAAAACCUGUCUCUAUAAAAAA
rnacentral:lncRNA from 1 species